rnacentral:sRNA from 1 species
UUAAGGUAUUCAAAAUGACCUUCGGGUGUC